GCAGGUACUGUACUCCAAGAUACUUGGAUUAUGAAGAUUUGGAGCGCAAGUACUGGAAGAACUUAACUUUUGUGGCACCUAUCUAUGGCGCAGACAUUAAUGGGAGCAUAUAUGAUGAGGGUGAGGCUGAAUGGAACAUAUCUCA